rnacentral:rRNA from 1 species
AUUGAACGCUGGCGGCAGGCUUAACACAUGCAAGUCGAGCGGAGAUGAGGUGCUUGCACCUUAUCUUAGCGGCGGACGGGUGAGUAAUGCUUAGGAAUCUGCCAUUUAGUGGGGGGCAACAUUCCGAAAGGAAUGCUAAUACCGCAUACGUCCUACGGGAGAAAGCAGGGGAUCUUCGGACCUUGCGCUAAUAGAUGAGCCUAAGUCGGAUUAGCUAGUUGGUGGGGUAAAGGCCUACCAAGGCGACGAUCUGUAGCGGGUCUGAGAGGAUGAUCCGCCAAACUGGGACUGAGACACGGCCCAGACUCCUACGGGAGGCAGCAGUGGGGAAUAUUGGACUAUGGGCGGAAGCCUGAUCCAGCCAUGCCGCGUGUGUGAAGAAGGCCUUUUGGUUGUAAAGCACUUUAAGCGAGGAGGAGGCUACCUGGAUUAAUACUCUAGGAUAGUGGACGUUACUCGCAGAAUAAGCACCGGCUAACUCUGUGCCAGCAGCCGCGGUAAAAC